CUUACACCUGUCUAUACAAGCAGGUAAAUCCCAGGUUGUGAGCUUACACCUGUCUAUACAAGCAGGUAAAUCCCAGGUUGUGAGCUUACACCUGUCUAUACAAGCAGGUAAAUCCCAAGACAUUCAUAGCAGUAAUUUUCAUCUUCACUGUAGCAACCAGAAAGGUUCACAAGGUAUUCCCUCAGGCUCACUGUGAGUAACAUAUUCAAAUGAACCUUGACUUUGUGAUCCACAGUAAGUUACAGUAUAAGUUCCUAUGGAAUACCCUUGAACGUUUCCCUUAAUAGCGGAGCAAUCUAAUGCUACAUCUUUAAAGAAGCAUCUACACAAAAAUACAUUUCUAUAUAAUCUCAUGUACUAUAUACAAAGUUUUCAUGUAAAAUUCGAAUAUAAUUCAACUUA